GAAUCCCGUCUUUGACACGGACUACCAGUGCUAUGUGAUGCGCUCUCGACGAGUCGAGUUGUUUGGGAAUGCAGCUCAAAACGGGUGGUAAAUUCCAUCUAAAGCUAAAUACAGGCGAGAGACCGAUAGCGAACAAGUACCGUGAGGGAAAGAUGAAAAGAACUUUGGAAAGAGAGUUAAACCGUACGUGAAAUUGCUGAAAGGGAAACGCUUGAUGUCAGUCGCGUCGGCCGGGGAUCAACCUUGCUUCUCGCUGGGUGUAUUUCCUGGUCGACGGGUCAGCAUCGGUUUCGGUCGCCGUACAAGGGCGAGGGGAACGUGGCACUCUUCGGAGUGUGUUAUAGCCUUUCGUCGCAUGCGGUGGUCGGGACCGAGGAACUCAGCACGGCUUCGGUCUGUGCUUAGGAUGCUGGCAUAAUGGCUUUAAUCGACCCGUCUUGAAACACGGACCAAGGAGUCUAACAUGCCUGCGAGUGUUUGGGUGAAAAACCCGAGCGCGUAAUGAAAGUGAAAGUUGAGAUCCCUGUCGUGGGGAGCAUCGACGCCCGGAGCAGACCUUUUGUGACGCAUCCGCGGUAGAGCAUGUAUGUUGGGACCCGAAAGAUGGUGAACUAUGCCUGAAUAGGGUGAAGCCAGAGGAAACUCUGGUGGAGGCUCGUAGCGAUUCUGACGUGCAAAUCGAUCGUCAAAUUUGGGUAUAGGGGCGAAAGACUAAUCGAACCAUCUAGUAGCUGGUUCCUGCC
rnacentral:rRNA from 1 species